rnacentral:rRNA from 1 species
GAAGAAGCUUGCUUCUUUGCUGACGAGUGGCGGACGGGUGAGUAAUGUCUGGGAAACUGCCUGAUGGAGGGGGAUAACUACUGGAAACGGUAGCUAAUACCGCAUAACGUCGCNNNNNNAAAGANNNGNACCUUCGGGCCUCUUGCCAUCGGAUGUGCCCAGAUGGGAUUAGCUAGUAGGUGGGGUAACGGCUCACCUAGGCGACGAUCCCUAGCUGGUCUGAGAGGAUGACCAGCCACACUGGAACUGAGACACGGUCCAGACUCCUACGGGAGGCAGCAGUGGGGAAUGUUGCACAAUGGGCGCAAGCCUGAUGCAGCCAUGCCGCGUGUAUGAAGAAGGCCUUCGGGUUGUAAAGUACUUUCAGCGGGGAGGAAGGGAGUAAAGUUAAUACCUUUGCUCAUUGACGUUACCCGCAGAAGAAGCACCGGCUAACUCCGUGCCAGCAGCCGCGGUAAUACGGAGGGUGCAAGCGUUAAUCGGAAUUACUGGGCGUAAAGCGCACGCAGGCGGUUUGUUAAGUCAGAUGUGAAAUCCCCGGGCUCAACCUGGGAACUGCAUCUGAUACUGGCAAGCUUGAGUCUCGUAGAGGGGGGUAGAAUUCCAGGUGUAGCGGUGAAAUGCGUAGAGAUCUGGAGGAAUACCGGUGGCGAAGGCGGCCCCCUGGACGAAGACUGACGCUCAGGUGCGAAAGCGNGGGGAGCAAACA